UACGUAGGGGGCUAGCGUUGUCCGGAUUUAUUGGGCGUAAAGAGCGUGUAGGCGGCCAGGUAGGUCUGCUGUGAAAACUCGAGGCUCAACCUCGAGACGUCGGCGGAAACCAUCUGGCUAGAGUCCGGAAGAGGAGAGUGGAAUUCCUGGUGUAGCGGUGAAAUGCGUAGAUAUCUGGAGGAACACCGGUGGCGAAGGCGGCAUCCUGGACCGGUAUUGACGCUGAGGAGCGAAAGCAUGGGAGCGAACAGG
rnacentral:rRNA from 1 species